CUCUGUUUACAGCGCGAGAGUGCAGCCUGUGCCAGGUGUGGGAAAACCCCAGGGACCCCAAACCUCUCACUGCCUCGAGAGGAGCAGCUCAGUGCAGUGGAAAAUUUCAUGGAAGCCAAAAUCCCUGCCUCUUACUGGAUAUGAGGGCCUUUGAGGGGAACAUCCAACCUCUCUGAGCCUCAGUGUCCUCAUCCGCAAAACAGAUAAUAACUCCUCUCUCACAGAGUGUGGAUUCGUUUUUGAGGGCUGCUGUAACAAAGUACCACAGACCAAGUAGCUUAAACAAGUGCCAACGACCUCACAGACACAGGUUGUGGAUAGCAGCAGACAUGGAGGUGGAGGCUGGGCGGCCAGUGAUGCUGUGAGUCAGAAUCAGAAAUUAUGGAAUUCUCCUGGCUGCCCGCUUCAGCAAUCCCUCCACAGCACUUCGGUGGAUGGAAUCUCCCCUUCCUGGAGCAAGUGAGAGAAAGUACCCGGAUGCUUUUUGUGCUGCUCUCCUUUUUUCCACAUGGUUACUAAAGGU
rnacentral:lncRNA from 1 species